GGAUGUAGCUCAGGAGUACAGCAGCUGCCUUAGCUGCAGGAAGUUCCAGGUUCAAUCCCUGGCAUAUCCA